GAUGAACGCUGGCGGCGCGCCUAAUACAUGCAAGUCGAGCGAACAGACGAGGAGCUUGCUCCUCUGACGUUAGCGGCGGACGGGUGAGUAACACGUGGAUAACCUACCUAUAAGACUGGGAUAACUUCGGGAAACCGGAGCUAAUACCGGAUAAUAUAUUGAACCGCAUGGAUCAAUAGUGAAAGACGGUUUUGCUGUCACUUAUAGAUGGAUCCGCGCCGCAUUAGCUAGUUGGUAAGGUAACGGCUUACCAAGGCAACGAUGCGUAGCCGACCUGAGAGGGUGAUCGGCCACACUGGAACUGAGACACGGUCCAGACUCCUACGGGAGGCAGCAGUAGGGAAUCUUCCGCAAUGGGCGAAAGCCUGACGGAGCAACGCCGCGUGAGUGAUGAAGGUCUUCGGGUCGUAAAGCUCUGUUAUUAGGGAAGAACAAAUGUGUAAGUAACUAUGCACGUCUUGACGGUACCUAAUCAGAAAGCCACGGCUAACUACGUG
rnacentral:rRNA from 1 species